AGCGAACGCUGGCGGCAGGCCUAACACAUGCAAGUCGAACGAACCUUUCGGGGUAGUGGCGGACGGGUGAGUGACACGUGGGAACGUGCCCUUAGGUUCGGGAUAACGCAGGGUAACUUGUGCUAAUACCGAAAGUGCCCUUCGGGGGAAAGAUUUAUCGCCGUUAGGGGGGGCCGCGCCCGAUUAGCUAGUUGGUUGAGGUAAUGGCUCACCAAGGCGACGAACAGUAGCUGGUCUGAGAGGAUGGGCAGACACAUUGGGACUGAGACACGGCCCAAAAUCCUACGGGAGGCAGCAGUGGGGGAUCUUGCGCAAUGGGCGAAAGCCUGACGCAGCCAUGCCGCGUGAAUGAUGAAGGUCUUAGGAUUGUAAAAUUCUUUCACCGGGGACGAUAAUGACGGUACCCGGAGAAGAAGCCCCGGCUAACUUCGUG
rnacentral:rRNA from 1 species